AGUUGUGACUCUCCAGCAGCACCCCAGUCCUUUUAAAUGUUUUUAAAGCCACUCACCAACAAAAGCAGCUGCACCCCCUCACACUGUGCACGACCAGGCACUGCAGUCCAGCAGCAGAAGAGCCCCUCACAGAGGAUCAGUAUUGUCUUUUAAAACUUUCCUGAGACAGGCUCCUUCUUUUCUGGGCCGACCUGCCCCACAGCCUCAGACCACCUCACUUCCCUGCCGCCUCACCUCAACUGCCUCACCUCAACUGCCCACAGGUGCCCCCUCACAGAACAGUCCCUCCUUCCACACCUGCUCCUCAUCAGCCCCAUCAUCAUCAUCCCCCUCAGCUGCAGCUGCUAGAGGGCUUCUUUAACACUCAGAUUAAAUCAAGGCCUCACUAUUUGUACAAAAAGCUUCACUUUAGGGGAAAAAAAGAAAAAAAGAAAGGGAGUGGAUUUAGGAAUUUUAACAGUUGAACUUUCCGAGCUUCUAAAUACAUAGUUCUGAAUUGGGUUUGGAAACCUUUGUGAAAGGCACAGGGAGUCACAGGCCUCACGACAAUAUCCUUAACUUUUAUGAUCAAAGAACAGCCUAAAGGCAGCAUGAACAGAAACAUUCAGAAUAACCUCCUGAAAAACUUACCUUUUGUGAGAGUCUAUAGUUUAUGUGCUACUGAAAGGCAACAUCUGCUUCCACUUGAAGUUUGCAAGGCCAAACUUGAAAGAAUUUAAAGGCUUGCUUUGGUUUUAAAAAACCCGUGGUUGCAGUCUGUGCCCUAUUGUGCUCAGGAGAGCACUGAUCUGGAAAAAGGGAGCCAAAAUCAAGUUCCUUGCUUAUCUGAAGCAGUAAUAGUAAAAACUCUCUUUUGUCACAUUUCUGAAGAGCAAACUAUUUUCACAACUCAUCUAGGCCCUUCUUUGCCCUUCCAUCAAAGACAUAUCACUCUAGAGAGAGGAGCAGCUGAUUUAUGGGGCUGCAGAACAGCAGAACUCGGCCUUGACGAUGCUGAUUGUGUUCAGGCCGAGGACAAAACAAAGAUAAACACACACUUCAAGUCAUGAAGUCAUUCAAGAAGGUUGUGCUUCAAACCUCCUUCUGUCCCCCUCUACUGCAGUUGUUACACAACAGCCCAAGAUCAGAACAGCAAAUGGGAGAUAGAGCCUGAGCCAGGACAUACAUGUUGCUUAACAAAGCUUGAGUUCAAAAGCAGGUAAACUCAGACCUAAAUAACAUAUUAAAAAGUCUUGACACUCCAGAAAAGGAUCAGGGAACCAAGAGGCAGGUAAUGGGAUUGUUCUGUACCUUCUGACAGCAGCCUUCCUCACAGCAUAUAAGGAAUGAGCUUUUCUAGCAACUGGAAAGAAAGGAGGGGCACAGUACAUUCUCUUUUUAAGGAAAUUUCUUCUAGAAAAGUAGUUUGACAGGUACAUAUAAGGUAAAAUAUUCUACACAUUUCUAUAGCUUGGGUAAGUACAGCCUAUUAGUGCAGGCUGAUAUAACCUAUGUGACAAGAGGCUUGAAACUGAGAAAAGAUGAAAGACGAUUGGAGAUGAAAGAGCUACAGUAUAUGAUGUGCAAUUUACACCAUUAUUCCUCUCCCCUCUGUCCCCCAGCUCUGAUAGAUUAGGAGUGAAACACGACCUGCAUGGAAGUAUGAAUAUAUUGAAAGAGCCAUAGGCAGGAACCAGGGCAGCACUGAAAUUGGACAAGUAUUUGAAGGAUACUUCAAAGAGUUUUACCCUGGAAAAGAAAAUUUGAUAUUUUUUUAAUCUGAUUUUUUCCUCAUAUUGUGCAUUUGCACUAUAAGAAAGAACUAUUUCACCUUUCUUCUGUGCACUCACUUCAGGAGGAACAAAUGCAGCAAAUUUGGGAGGAUCACCUAUUAUAUCUUGCUUUUUAUUACUCAGUAUGAAAAAAGUGAAAUUCAAGAUUUCGUCCCAAUGUCUAUUAGGAAUCAUUACUAGAUGCUAUUUUAUUUUCCAGUUCUCUCAGAAUUACUGAAUCACUCCACUGGUCUGGAUGGCUUUUUUAUUCUUUACCUUUAAUACAAGUCUGCUUGGAAGCCCUUCUUUUCAAAUGUAUAUUUGGAAUGUAUAUUCACCAGAUACAAACCCACAAAAGCAAUAUAAUAUUUUCCUCAUUGUAUUUAAAUGGCAUUUAUCACAUGAAACUGUGCAACCUUACAGUUUCAGUUAUGGAUCUUCAAUAACAAAUCUGACAAAACUCCUUUCAAAUGCAUAUCUGCAACUUCCUUCCCUGUAUUUACAUGAGAGUCCAGCAGGUGAAUAAAAGGUAAAUUAAUGGGAAAAAGAUGAAAAUACUUCUUUCCCUGGAAAAUUAUUGGAGCCUUCCACUGCAAUUCCCAGCACCCUGCCAUGGAAUGAGCUAAAAAAAUCAGCAACUAUUUUACUGGCAAGGUCACCAACAUAUAACUGUUCAGGUUAUGCACUUACUGUGUUAAUAGUACAGCUGUGUUAAAGCAGCUGGAGUACAGGGAGUGAUCAAAUGUCUGUUAUUAUCACUUAUUAAACUCAGGCUACAGAACCUGAAAGUGUGGGAAUAAGGCAGACAAAGAGGAUUUGACCUCGUGAGUUAGUGCCUUACAUCCAGCUACAGAACAGAUGGACAUAAAUCUUUACAGUUCUACAGCUGUUUGCAAGGAGCUAACUCAAAAAUAAUGACAUAAACCCACUGUAACUACGUUAUUGCUGUGCUCUUGUACCUCUACACUGGUAUGUGAGGAAACCAGGACUCAACUCCAUGAAAGCUCCAAUGUCUACAAGUACUUUUUCCUCCAGCCUAUGUGCCACUGUCUGACAUCUGGUGCUUAUCCUCUGCACUCCUCUCUCCUCAUGGUGCCUCAGAUCUCCUGUCUCUGUCAGGAGCUCUUUCUUCCUCAAACAUAGCCCUAGCAGUGUGUGUAGCUGUAUAAUACCUUCCUUGUUUCUAAAUAUUUUUACAGAUCUCCAGGAUCUUGUCACUGAACAGCUUAGGCAGUCACAGAAACAGCAAAAGACAAAAUCAGGGCCAACAUCUUGUGAACAGCUGUGCCCCUCUGUAGGAAUCACUGAGAUGUGGGAUGAGGACAAGAAGAGGUUAUUCCUUUUUUCCCCCAAGAAUGCAACACACUGGUGAAAAUGCUAGAGACUGAAUGUAGAGGAUGCCCUCAAAUUCAGAGCUGGGGAAGUAAUUUAGUUUGAAUUUUACUUUUUUUUCCUGAAAAGACCAACCAUGUGUAUGUCAGACAAACAUACAGUUUCCAUUUGUCUCAAAAUAUUUCAUAAUUACAGUCAAGAGUUAUACUCUUGCCUGUGCUACUCCCCACCCCACAAAUAAACUCAAAAAUAAAUAAGCAUCAGGUUUUCCUCA